GACGAACGCUGGCGGCGUGCCUAAUACAUGCAAGUCGAGCGGAUUGAUGGGAGCUUGCUCCCUGAUAUCAGCGGCGGACGGGUGAGUAACACGUGGGCAACCUGCCUAUAAGAGGGGGAUAACAUCCGGAAACGGGUGCUAAUACCGCAUAGUUUUUCUGAUCGCAUGAUCGGGAAAGAAGACGGCCUUUGUGCUGUCGCUUAUGGAUGGACCCGCGGCGUAUUAGUUAGUUGGUGAGGUAAUGGCUCACCAAGACGAUGAUACGUAGCCGACCUGAGAGGGUGAUCGGCCACAUUGGGACUGAGACACGGCCCAAACUCCUACGGGAGGCUG
rnacentral:rRNA from 1 species